ensembl:lncRNA
AAACCUCCAACUGAAAAGCUUCCACAGUGCAUGUCUCCUGUCUUGUCUGCUGCCAGACGGGAACACCCCUGAGGUUUCAAAGCAAGAAGAAGGAGUGUGCAGAUGAAAAAAACACAACAAGACCAAAAAAAUCCCAGUUCAAACAAAAAGUGCUCUGCUUUCCAAUCUUAUGUCAAACAGGUUACAGGCACUAUUAAUUAAAGCUUCUCUCUCUCACACACACACACACACAAGUUGACAGAAUAAUGUAGUCCAUAACAUUUGAGCACAAACAAUGACUGCUUACUAAGAAUAGGGCUGCUGUUGCCUCGUCAUCUGUCACCCCACUGCUUCCCAUCACUCAUGCCUUCAGGAUAGAAACUGUGCCAUUCAGUCGUGGAGAUGACAUCUCCCUGUUAACAUUUUCCUAAGCCACAUAUGCAGUGGCCUGUGAAACACGAAACAGGUUGUGGCUGGCUUGUUUACUGAGGUGUUUAUUAGUCUAGAUCUGAACAGCAUUUUCCCACCUGAAUCAACAGGGAGACAGAUACAGUGGUGCUUGAAAGCUUGUGAAUGCUUUAGAAUUGUCUAUAUAACUGCAUAAAUAUGACCUAAGACAUCAUCAGAUUUUCAGAAGUCAUAAAAGUAGACAACCAGAACCCAAUUAAACAAACAAGACAAAAAUAUUAUACUUGGUCAUUUAUUUAUUGAGGAAAAGGAUCCACUAUUUCAUAUCUGUGAGUGGCUUUUUCUUCUUUUCGUGUCGAGGUUCCUCUUCAUAGUGGAACCAUCAUGGUGGAAGGAUUAGCCACUCAGCAGUACGAUACUGAACGUUGCUCAGGGGAGGCUCCUUCCAUCCACUACAGACACUUUGGACAUGCCAAUCUGCCUACCAUGCAUGUCUUUGGACUGGGAGGGAAAACCAGAGUACCCAGAGAAAACCCCCCAGCACGGGGAGAACAUGCAAACCCUGUACACACACGGCCACAGUGGGAAUUGAACCCCCAACCCUGGAGGUGUGAGGCAAACGUGCUAACCACUAAGCCACCGUGCACCCUUGUGAGUGCAUGGUGGCAAAAGUAUGUGAACCUUUGGGAUUAGCAGUUAAUUUGAAGGCAGAUGUUUUCAAUCAAUGGGAGGACAAUUAGGUGUGAGUGAGUGCCCUGUUUUAUCUAAUGAACAGGGAUCUAUCAAAAUCUGAUCUUCACAAUACAUGUUUGUGGAUGUGUAUCAUGGCAUGAACAAAUGAGGUUUCUGAGGACUCAUCAGGCUGGAAAAGGUUACAAAAUCAUCUCUAAAGCGUUUGGACUCCACCAAUCCACAGUCAGGCAGAUUGUGUAGAAAUUGAGGAAAUUCAAAACCACUGUUUCCUUCCCCAGUUGUGAUCAACCAACAAAGAUCACUCUAAGAGCAAGACGAUCUAAUAAUCUGCAAGGUCACAAAGGAAUCCAUGGUAAUUUCUAAGCAACUAAAGGCCUCUCUCACAAUGGUAGGGUUGCAAGUAGAAGACCACUGCCCUCCAAAAAGAACAUUGCUGCCCCUCUGCAGUUUGCUAAAGUUGUUAAAGUUGGAAAAAUGUUUUGUGGAUAGAUGAGACCAAAAUAAAAAAUUUUGGUUUAAAUGAGAAGCGUUAUGUUUGGAGAUAGGAAAACACUGCAUUUCCGCAUCAGAACCUUAUCCAAUCUGUGAAACAUGCUGGUGGUAGUAUCAUGGUUUGGGACUGUUUUGCUGCAUCUGGACGACUUGCCAUCAUUGGUGGGACAAUGAAUUCUGAAUUAUACCAGCAAAUUCUAAAACAAUUGUCAGGAUAUCUGUUCAUAAAAUGAAUCCCAAGAGAAAGUGCGUCAUGCAGCAACACAAUGACCCUAAGCACACAAAACGUUCUACCAAUGAACGGUUAAAGAAGAAUAAAGUUAAUGUUUUGGAAUGUUCAAGUCAAAGUCCUGACUUUAAUCCAGUAGAAAUGUUGUGGAAGGACCUGAAGCAAGCAGUUCAUGUAAGGAAACCCACCAACAUCCCAAAAUUCCAAAAUUCCUUCAAGCCGAUGUGCAGGACUGAUCAACAGUUACUGGAAACGUUUAGUUGCAAUUAUUGCUUCACAAAAGGGUCACAACAGAUACUGAAAGCAAAGGUUUACAUACUUUUGCCACUCACAGAGAUAAAAUAUAAUUUUCCUCAAUAAAUAAAUGACAGAGUAAUAUAUGGGUUUUUUUGGUCUCAUUUGUUUAAUUGGGUCUACUUCUGAAAAUCUGAUGAUGUUUUAGGUCAUAUUUAUGCAGAAAUAUAGAAAAUUCUAAAGGGUUCACAAACUUUCAAACACCCCUAUAUAUGCAUCAUAUUUGUGCAUUGCAUGUAGACAUUACAUCACAUCAAACACUUCUCUGCCCAGAUUAUGUAAUAUGAGGCCUUUACAUUUAAGCAGACACUGUAAUUCGAUGCACACCGGCAUUGCUCUGCUGCAUGAUUCUUAAACAAUAAUCUCUGGUACAGCAACAAUUAUUUCAUUAAACUAACAGAUCAGAAUAAUUUGUCCUCCAGCAUAAUCCUCUGUAAUUACAUGUGUAUUCACAUACUCACAUUAUGCACUAGAGCUGCUUGAGGGCAGGUAUGUCUAAUUUCUUUCUACACAGAUCACCAUGCCUAAUAUUCUGUAAAUAAUUCCAGAAGGUAAUUAAAUGGAGUGCUACAAUACUCUGCAGCAAAAAGUACACGAAAUAAUGUAUUUUUAAUUCAACAAUGCAUUAAAAAAUAAACAAUGAAAAAACCGAUGAACCAAGCUAAUACACAAUAGCUUUUCCUCUGUUCCCCCAAUAGUCCAAUACAACUUUCCUCCAAAGUUGGAUUAACUUGGACUGGGUAAUAACCUGUCAGGAACUGCAAAAAAAAAAAAAGCCAGGGUGUGCUAUUACCACUACUAGUACCACUACUACCAAUAAUAACAACAACAAAUAUCUAAACAAAUAUCACUGACAAAAAGAAGAUUCCAGGGAAUAACUAUACUAAAUAACUGAGUGCUUCAUCAUUAAAGGUGUUAAAAUUGCAGCAUGGUCCACCAAGUUUUCGGUGAAAUAACAUAUUUUCGACAAUAUCAUCUGUGCAAGCAAAGUAGUUCUGAGGCUUUUAGAAGUAAAACCAAUUGAUAUUUGAAGACAGCCUCACAAGUACUUUCAUAUGGCAUGUCUUGUUUUUGUGGAUUACGUGUCAUUUUGUGUACUAUGCUGUAAUUAUUGCUACCUAUACAUUUAUUAUCAAUUGCUUCUUCAAAGAACUGCAGUCACAUAUCUAUACCUUACCUGCCAUGGCUAUAAACACAAGCUGCACCGGUGGCACACAAAAAGGUCUCUACACCCUUGUCACAAACAAAACUGUGAAACAGAUGGCUGCUAAACGAGAGUCUAAUGUGCAAGAAGGCAGAACAGUUCCAGCAGAUGAGCUACGAGGCUCUUGGCAGCAGGAGCUAAUUUCUUGAUUAUGUAGGCUAUAUUCUGUAUGUGCAACUGAACAUUGGGCUAAGGAAUGUAAUUAGCGGUAGCUCUACGGUUAAGAGUGUGUGUUCUUAACUAGUGUGUACCAGAAGAGGAGUUCAAAUUCUAAAGCUGCUGGAGAAACAGUGUUGGGCCUCUGACAUUCAACUGAGCAGCUUUGUGCUUGGAUUGUAAUUUAGAUCUUGUUUAUUACUGUCAGGGAUUGUUGGUGGAGGAAGAUGCAACUGCGACUAAUUGAUUGUACUUUAUACAAACAAAGCAACCAAAAAACUGUAAAAUCACAGUCCUUCCAAUAAUUGAUAUCAUGCACUAGUUGAAGGUCUUAUAGUAUAUGUCAUCCAAAUGCCUUCUCAGAAAUUACCAUAAAAGUCCCCCCCCCCCCCCCCCCCCCCCCUCUCUGUAGAGGCUGUAACCAUCUCCCCUGAAACCAUCUCAACAUCCUUUUUAAUUGAACAGCUUGGCUUUAUAUUAGCUAAAAUAAAUUUUGUAGCAUUUUAUUACCAAGACUUGAUUGAAACUAAUGAAAUUACUGUUUGUACGUGCAUAGAUAGGCCUAUUAAACACGACUAUAUAUUAUCCUUUUGCAACUGAUUAAUCUAUUUUUGUGGACCCAAAACCUCUGAGAAUGGAUGAAUUUGCCGAUUAAGCACUACACUGUGCUUUACUGUGUGCCCCAUGGCUCUAAUACCGAAUGGUAUUAACUGAAUGGUCAGACUUUACUACAACAGCAUUCUUUUAUUUACGAUGGAGAAUACUCAGCACAGCAAAGCUCAUGAAGUCUACUCAUGAGUGUGUUUAGACUUGGUCUUUAUUAUUGAUCCAUUUGUGUGAGCUUUAGUCUCAAAUCUCUAAUAAGCAACUGGACUAACAGCUGACUUCAUGCUCUUAAAUGUUCCCUUCACAAAAGAUAACAACACAUACCAGUUUCAUUCACUGUCAGUAACUGGUUUAUCUCUUCUGAAUUUUGGAUGUGUUUGUAUAGUAAUAUGUAGCAAACUAGUGAUUUAAAAAAGUUGUAUUUGUAUUUGUUCAGAACACAUUUUUUGUUCAAUACAAUAAAAAAAAUUUGCAUUUGGUUCCAUCCCUUUACAUAAUUCAGAAAUCAGGAAAAUGUUUUUCAUCACUUACAUGUAACUGUGGGGCAACUGCACUCUGGUUGGGGUGAUAAACCUGCCUCCCUCCUAUGUGAUCGUUAGCUGCUAACAUUGCUAAUGAAGGACCUCUUUAGUACUGUGCUGCUUAAUGAAGAACCUUCCCACGAUAGCCUCUCCUCCAGUUAGAAAAAAAAAGUCUCUCCACAACUGCUUUGUCAAGCCCCUGCAUUCAGGAACUAAAGUUGUAACUUUUAGUUAGUUUGCUCUUUUCCCUGUUAACAUUUGAAUGGUUUUAAUUAGAUAUAAUUGCUUUGUUUUAUAGAAUUGCUUUGGAGAUUGGGGUGAAGAGGUGUCUUGGGAGGCACUACGUAUUGUUUCAUUACAUUACACUUAGACGCAGAAAUCAAAAACACUCAAAAACCUCAAGGUUGUUUUACUUGUUAGGUUUCUGAGAAAAAAAGGGAAUAACUUAAAUAACAUUAUAUACUGCAGUGUGGCCAGUACAGUCACAUUUGUGGAGCUCUGCCUAAACAUACUUACAUCCGCUGAUCUGUUUUUCACUUCCUCGUCUAUGUCCAAGUGUGUUCUGCUUUCUAGUUUUGCUGUCUAUGUGCAAUCUAUCUUAAGCAGUGCUUUACAUGUGUGUAUGUUCAAGGCUGGAUUAUCCAUAUAUAGGAUUGAGAGAGUGCCCUGGGGCACCAGCCAAUGGGGAGCACCAAAUGAUAACAACUAGGCCUUCAUAAUAUUUGUCAUAUUUUCUAUAUAUUAUUUACUGGAAGAGAUGCAAACAGAUACAAAAUUAACAGCUAAUACAAUAUAUAUACAUAUAUACAGUGCAUCCGGAAAGUAUUCACAGCGCUUCACUUUUACCACAUUUUGUUAUGUUACAGCCUUAUUCCAAAAUGGAUUAAAUUCAUUAUUUUCCUCAAAAUUCUACAAACAAUACCCCAUAAAGACAACGUGAAAGAAGUUUGUUUGAAAUAUGUGCAAAUUUAUUAAAAAUAAAAAACAAAAAAAGCACAUGUACAUAAGUAUUCACACCCUUUGCCAUGACACUCAAAAUUGAGCGAAGGUGCAUCCUGUUUCCACUGAUCAUCCUUGAGAUGUUUCUACAACUUGAUUGGAGUCCACCUGCGGUAAAUUCAGUUGAUUGGACAUGAUUUGGAAAGGCUGUCUAUAUAAGGUCCCACAGUUAACAAUGCAUGUGAGAGCACAGACCAUGCCAUGAAGUCCAAGGAAUUGUCUGUAGACCUCCGAGACAGGAUUGUAUCGAGGCACAGAUCUGGGGAAGGCAUACAGAAACAUUUAUGCAGCAUUGAAGGUCCCACUGAGCACAAUGGUCUCCAUCAUCCAUAAAUGGAAGAAGUUUGGAACCACCAGGACUCUUCCUAGAGCUGGCCGCCCGGCCAAACCUAGCGAUUGGGGGCGAAGGGCCUUAGUCAGGGAGGUGACCAAAAACCCGAUGGUCACUCUGACAGAGCUCCAGCGUGUCUCUGCGGAGAGAGGAGAACCUUCCAGAAGAACAACCAUCUCUGCAGCACUCCACCAAUCAGGCCUGUAUGGUAGAGUGGCCAGACGGACUUCUCAGUAAAAGGCACAUGACCGCCUGCCUAGAGUUUGCCAAAAGGUACCUGAAGGAGUCUCAGACCAUGAUGAAACAAAGAUUGAACUCUUUGGUCUGAAUGGCAAGCGUCAUGUCUGGAGGAAACCAGGCACCAGUCAUCACCUGGCCAAUACCAUCCCUUUAGUGAAGCAUGGUGGUGGUUUCAUGCUGUGGGGAUGUUUUUCAGCAGCAGGAACUGGGAGACUAGUCAGGAUUGAGGGAAAGAUGAAUGCAGCAAUGUACAGAGACAUCCUUGAUGAAAAUUUGCUCCAGAGCGCUCUGGACCUAGGACUGGGUUGAAGGUUCAGCUUCCAACAGGACAAUGACCCUAAGCACACAGCCAAGAUAACAAAGGAGUGGCUACAGGACAACUCUGUGAAUGUCCUUGAGUGGCCCAGCCAGAGCCUAGUCUUGAACCCGAUUGAACAUCUCUGGAGAGAUCUGAAAAUGGCUGUGCACCGAUGCUCCUCAUCCAACCUGAUGAAGCUCGAGAGGUCCUGCAAAGAAGAAUGGGAGAAACUGCCCAAAAAUAGGUGUGCCAAGCUUGUAGCAUCAUACUCAAAAACACAAUCUGUUAAAUCUUAACACUGUUAACAAAAUAAGAGGGAUCAUAAAAUUCCCAUGUUGUUGUUUAUUUAGUACUGUACUGAAUAAUCGAUUUCACAUAACAGAUGUUUACAUAUAGUCCACAAGACAAGAUAAUAGCUGAAUUUAUAAAAAUGACCCAGUUCAAAAGUUUACCUACCCUUGAUUCUUAAUCCCGUGUGUCGUUACCUGGAUGAUCAACGACUGUGUUUGUUUUGUGAUAGUUGUUCAUGAGUCCCUUGUUAGUCCUGAGCAGUUAAACUGCCCACUGUUCUUCAGAAAAAUCCUCCAGGUCCUGCACAUUCUUUACUUUUCCAUCAUCUUCUGCAUAUUUUUUUACACUGAUCAUCCUGUUAAAAUGUUUACAUCCCCCUAGUGCUUAAUGUUUUGUGUUGCCUUCUUGAGCAUCAGUGAAUGUUUGCACCUUAUGUAAUAGUUGUGAACGAGUCCCUCAGUUGUCCUCAGUGUGAAAAGAUGGGUAUCAACAUCAUAUAGCCUCUGUUGGAAAGGGGUCAAGAGUGAGAGAGAGAGAGAGAGAGAGAGAGAGUAUAAAAAUAUAUGCAUAUAAAGAAUUGCGAUUGGGUGUAUGUGCCCCCGACCCCAGUUUGGGCUUUGCGAACACAAACUAAGAGAAAGAUAUAGCAAACUAUACAGAUAUGGCAAAAUACGGUAAACCAUCCAUCCAUUGAAUGCCUUUUAUUGUCACUAUACAUAUGUACAAUGAAAUUAAGAGCCACUCCUUUUUUGACUGGAAAGGAGAGCCGUGAGCCGCAGCAACUGUGUGCGCCGCCAUCUUGGUCCACCAUCCAUCUUCUAUACCGCUUAUCCUUUUCAGGGUCACGGUAAACACAAGCUAAAAAAACUAUCACGACACAUAGCCACUAUUCACAAUGUACCCGCAAUCGCAAGUUUUUUUCUUCAGAUUUAGAUUUAAUUAGAAAGUAGGUGUUCUGCUAAAGGUAAGGCUUAUUUUUUAUCAUUUCUGGUCAAAUAUGUGACGCUGUUGUCGAUUUGGUAAUUGUGGAACAGUUUUCUCUUUUAACUAGUUGCUCAGUUAGUGAUGCUUGUGAAGUCAGUGUAUGUUUCGCUGUUGUGCGUCUUGGUGGUGCUGAAUUCAGCUGUUGAUGUGUUGCUUGCAAAAGUCUUUCUUGGUCUUAGCUUAUUUGGUAUAUAUGUGUGCAAUGAUUAUUUAGACAUACUCUGUAAUGGUAUGUAAUUGCAUGUAGUUCUAAUACAGGCCAUUUAUGAUGAAAAUAAUGAUAUUUACCAUGACAUAUUGCAUUGGCAAGUGAGUUACAUUCAGAUUUGAGCAUCAGUAAGGGCUAGGAUGCCACUUGUAGGACCAUGUCUAUGUAUGGUGUCAGUUUUUUUUUGGUUGGGUCUUACAUUUUUCUAUAGUCUGUGUAGUGAGCCCGUACUUUAGCUAUAAGUUCAUGUAAAUCUAUGGACUUUAUAGCCAUAGUAAAUUUCACAAAUUUUUUUUUAUUUUUAUUUUUUUUUACAUGUAAUGUGGGAGGAGGGGGGCAUAAGUGUGGCCACCAUGGAGCACCACAUUUUGCUAAUCCGCGCCUGUGUCUGUGUGGUGUCUGUUAAGUCACUGCUUCCUCACAACUACUAAAGGAUUUAAUUAGCCCCAUACAGGCAGAUGUGUGACAUGCCUUCAACACUACCUGAUACUCUAGCAGUCAGUUCUAUUGUCUGCUUUAAGCAGUCAUGAGUUCACCUUGUCAAUGUGGUAAAAGGCUGUCCUUGAUUCACUUUCACACAUGCGGAUAUUCCGUGCACCAGAAGUUAGUAGGCACUUCAUUUCUUUUUAACACGCCCUCAUUGUCCUCCCUUCAAGAUGCAACUCACAAAUGUGUCACUAAAAUCCACCUACCCAUGAUAGACAUCACAAUGUAUCUAAAUCAAUAUUCUUUGUAUGGGUUGACAAAAUGUUUGGUUGAUUUUUCAAACUAUCCUGACUAUCCAGCAAGAUGAAUGAAGAUGAAUGAAUUAUGUUUUUUUUUUUUUUUUGGCAUUUCUUUUAAGUGAAACUGAGUUGAAAUACUUUUGUGGAUUUUUUUUUACUCCUGUAGUUUGCAGUUAUGUUGUCAUGGUCCAUUGGGCGAUCUAUGAAACUUUAUUUGAGUUAAUAAAGCUUUGAACUGGUGCUCACAAUAGCAACUGGGAUGUCAGUAUGGUAAAAUGGUGUGGGGGAGUUGAUGAUGGAAUGUUAUAAACAAUAUUGAAAUCAUCCCAGUGUGUCCAAAGACAGCAGAUCAACAUGACUUUUAUCUUCAAGAGCUUCCCUAAGCUGGGUUUUUAUCAUCAGCUAAAAAUGGACACUGGACAGACUAUCAGAUAAUCCCUACAACAGCUGAUCAUAAAUGAUGUCACCACAGAGUGAAGUAGUGGCAAAUGCCAGAGCUGAGUUUGACCUCUGACCUUUUGACUGAUCCCCAAAUCAUUCUGCAUGACUCAGUAUAUGAUUGCAAUUAAUGAUCUGAUCCAGAAACAUAAUGGGAUGAACAGACACACACAAAAAAGUUUCCUCUGCAAGAAGCUAAUAAGGGCUUCAUGUUAUAACAGCUUAGUAAUAAAGACUGUAUACUGAGGAGGAUAAUUCUAGAGUUAAAAAUACACUAUAUGGCAAAAGUAUGUGGACACCUGACCAUCACAGCCAUAUGUGCUUGUUGAACAUCCAGAUUUAGUCACCCUUUGCUGUUAUAAUAGCCUCCACUCUUCAAGAAAGGGUUUCCACUAGAUUUUGGAAUGUGGCUGUGGGGAUUUGUACUCCAAAAGCCCCAAGAGCAUUAAGGUGCAUUCACACAUACAGAGACUUGCAGUGACAAAGCGUCUGGAGACCAUUAAUUUUCAUUGAGAGCUAGCGAGUUCCGGCGACAUGAGCAGUGGCGACCAUUGAAGACUAGAUGUGGGCGUGUCCAGCGACUUUGAAAGUUGAGAAAGGUUUAACUUUAUGUGAAUUUGGAGCAACUCUGUGCAGCAACUAUCAAUGGGAGUGAAGACAAACGUGAUCUGUAGCCACCCGUGCUCACUAGCAGAAGCAGCGCCAUUGCGGCAGUAGCCAAUUAGCUUAGCUUAGCUUAGUUUAGGAUCCUAGCAGGUUUAAAGCAAAUAAUAAAAAUAAAAGAAAUAAUAAUGAAACACUCACUUUUUGUUGCAAUCGAGCAAAAUCCCAGUGUAGCGCUUAUCUUGGGUGAAAUGUCCGGCUUGUGCUUCUUUGGCGCCCGGGAACGUGCAGCAUCAAGCCGGAAGAGCUGCGAUCCGGCUCCCGGUUGCUAUCAAACAUAGCCAAUGACACAGUGACUACGUUUACAUGGACAGCAGUAAUCUAAUUAUUGACCGUACUGUGAUUAAGAUAAUAAUGUGAUUAAGGUGUUUACAUGAGUUGCUUUUAGAAUACUCCUGUCAUGGUCCCGUUUUACAUGUUAUAGAUCAUAAUUAGAUUAACAGCUCGCGUCAUUAUGUCACCGUGCCACGGUGUCCGACGUCCUUCUAGAAUUUCACUUAUCAACAUACAGUUCGUCUUCGUUAUGGUACUGUAUACAGUUUUGGGUGUUUUUAUUUAAUUUUUUUAACGAACGCUUUAAGUGCAGUUAAUUAUUUGUCAUGCUAUACGUGCUAAUAGACAACUGCUUGAAGCCGUGGGCUGCGUCUCAAACCGCGUACUUACCGUCUAUAUAGUAGCUGAGAUACAUGUAUUUUUCCCCACUACAGGCCUAUAGUAAGGAAGUAUGCGGUUUGGGACGCAGCCGAACUCUCUUGUUCGCCGUAAAAUGUUGAGAACUGCCGUGUGUGAUCGUGUCCUGUCGCAAAAUGCGGUGAAAACUCUCACACGACGUUCAUAAUGUGAUUGAGGUGUUCACAUGUCUGUAAUACAUGUCCAUAAUGCGACUAAAACAGGAGUACUCCACCUGUCUUAAUUCGAUUAGAGCUUAAUUCGAGUAUGACCUUAAUUAGAUUAAGGUAAGUAAAAAUUGCUGUUUACAUGGUAGUUUCUUAAUCAAAGUAUGGUCUUAAUCGGGUUGAGAUUGGAUUAUUGUUGUCCAUGUAAACGCAGCUACUGAUGGUGAUGCUUACUGAGAUAGGAGCUCACAAAAAGUGAGUGUUUCAUUAUUAUUAUUUCAUUUUAAACACACUAAGCUAAGCUAAGCUAAUUGCCGCUUGCGCUUUUGCCACAUAUAGGUGGUCACAGUGGCAGAUACCACACACUGCUCCUCAUUCAUCUCAUAGGAUAUGAUGCAUACAUACACUGGUGAAUUUUAUAUAAGAUCAUCUCUCUCCAGAAUGUUUAAUUUUAGCAGCUAGAAAACUGGUUUGUUGUCAAAAUUGGAACGUCAGGGCACCCAUGUUACUACGGCAACCAGUAGUAGGAACGCCUACUGGGGACAUCAUAGUACAGCGACUGGCGACUUGCAGCGAUAAAAUCACUGUAUGUGUGAAUGUACCUUUAGUGAGGUCAGGCAGUGACGUUGCGUGAGGAAUCCUGGAGCACAGUCACCAUUUCAAUUCAUCCCAAAGGUGUUCAGUGGGGUUGAGGUCAGGGCUCUGUGCAGGACACUCGAAUCCUUCCACUCCAACCUUGGCAAACCAUGUCAUCAUGGACCUUGCGUUGUGCACAGGCGCACUGUCAUGCUGCCAUCUAAAUUUAAAUGUUACAGAAUACAAAGACAUCCUAUACAAUCGUGUACUUCCAACUUCAUGGGAACAGUUGAAGGAAGACCCACAUAUGAGUGUGAUGGUCAGGUGUCCACAUACGUUUGGUCUUAUAGUUUAGAGGAGACUGUGUAGUUUUUGUGACAAUCCCAGUUAGAGAUAUGCUACCUUAUUUCACCCUCUCUUAAAAUAUUCAGUAUUGUCCAUUAAUUAUAAAUUAAAUACCUCAUCAAGAACCCACACAGGCUCUGAAAAGCCUUUUAAUUGUGAUGAAGAUAUAUGAAAAGACAUUCUUUUUUUUUUUUUUUUUUAAAGAACUUAUGAUGACUCACUCCAGGAGUUUCUGGAGAGUGAGGCUGGAUUUGUAUAACUUCUGACAGGCUAAGGGGGCAUUUGGAGCAAUGCUGUGAGAAGAUAUCACAUCUUAUCAUAAGUGUAGGAAUACCAAAGUGGGAAAUUCAGAGCCACAAUAAGACUAUUCCAUUGAGGUAGACUGUUGCUGUUCAUCAUGGCUAUGUAGCAGCAAAUCCUCGUCAUGCAUUGCUGGAAUGUUAGGUAUUAUCCAUGAACACAGCUGUGCAAAAAAAAAACAUUUUCUGAAUCUACUCAUUUUGCUGAGGUCUGACUUUCUUUACCUCAGCUCUGUCUCUGCCCUUUUCCAAGGAUCCAUGAUUUCAUUUAACAUCCUUUAAAAGAAUAGAGAGAAUUUCAUGCCCCCAUUGGGAAAGCCUGCAAAAAAUCAACCUGGAUCCAUAAAUAAACACAAGGUCAUUCAGGGUUCUGAUCUUUGAAACAGGGCUAUAUAGACAUAGGAAAUGAGAACCUUGAGCAUGUAACAUCCCUAGUGACUCCUGUGUGGAAACGCUUUGUGUAACUAAUUUUAAUCAUCACAAAACUCAAAUGCUUCCUAGAUUGAUGUUCAUAGUUGGAGCUCCCCAUGGACUUCCAAUGUGCCUCUGAUCCAUAGCAGAAUAUAUGCACACCAGCUCCUGAAACUCACAGUCCACCUCCAAGUCAAUUACAGUGAAGCCACAGAAUGUCACACAAAGCAUUCCACUGACACUCACUACACACCACCUCAGGCUGCACACGACGGGUCACCCAAAGGUGACAAAUGCAUCUUUGGUGGUCAAAUACCCAUGAGUAUCUUUCAACUGAACAUGUUUCUUUAUGUUCAGACCCCAUGCUGCAAUGCAACUGAUGUCUUCACCUAUACAAAUAUUGUCACAUAAGCUGUAAUUGUAACAGGUGUUUAAAGACUCUAUGAAAGUUUGUAUGCUCAGUGUGCAGUUUAUUAAGGGGAAUCCAAGAAUCACAAAAAGUUUUGUGGGAGUCAGUACACAGAAAGACAUAAUGCAAUGCCAUAAUUACUAAUGGAGGAAGACUGCAGGAUAAAAUCAGCAAGAAUCACACAACUGGAGAUACAAAAGGGAAACAUGGAAUUAGGGACAUGGCUUGAUAUUGACUGCAAAAUGCAUGACAAGACUGCAACAAACAACAGUAAAGACGAGGUGUAUACAUAGACUAAGGGAGAAUAAGGAACAGGUGCACACAAUCAAGCAGAACAAACCACUCACAGAGAAGUAUGGACACAGAUCCAAAAAGAAGAAGCACAUGGCACUUUUUUUCACCAUAGGUACUACUGUGAUAAUACUGAAAACAGUAGCUAUAUUUCCAUCCAAGUUGUUAAUUUAACUUACACAAAAAAUUGGAAUAUUGCAUAAAACAUAAUUAUAAAUAACAAAAUAAUGUCAAUGACAGACGUUGGCUCAGGCAUUUCAGAAUGACAAAAACAUCUGAGAUUUGAAAUGUUGUGCAACGAGAUUGGUCCGCUGGUUAGUCCAGUUAUGCGCACCCCAGUUCUGACAGAAAAAAAAUCACAUCAGCCAAUUAUCCAAUCACAUGAUUUGACUUUGUGAUGCGCAUCAAGGAAUUAAUUCAGUAAAUAUAUUCCUAUCGUAGUUACUGCUCAUGUUUUCUUACCGAAUAAAAAAGUUAUCCACCACAAUUGAGCGCAUAAGAAACUUAUUUUAUAAAUUUUAUUUAGAUCUGGUGUUUCCAUACAACGUUUUUGUAUGCAAUAUUCCAGAAUUCACAUAAAAAUACGUGGAUAGAGACAUGGCUAGUGACAAUGUCAGAGAGUGAAAACAUAUGAGGUCCCAUCUUCAAACGAGUGAGAGUGAUAAUUCACAAUUAUUAGUAGUGGCAUUCUGAGCUGUGCACUAAUAGACAUCAGAGCAAGUUGGCAGUGCCAGUAGAAGUCUCGCUAAUCAAUUGAUGCUAGGCUUAGGAGGAAUAUAAACACUAUGGAGCAUGCAGAAAUCUCUUCCUCAUGCCUGCUGACAUGUUAGGGAAGAAAUAAGAGCACAGAAAACAGGAGGAAUGAGGGCAUGGAUGGAUACCCUAUGACCUAUUUGGAUUUUAGAGGAUGUUAACCUGUUAUGUAGAGGAUUUGGUGGGAUUUUGGUCAGAACAGGUAGAAUUGCAGAGAAAAAUAACUGAAGAGACAAAGAAAGAUAGGAAAGAAGAAUGUGAAGAAAAUGAGAGCCUCUGUGGUAGCUGUGUAGAGACAACAUUAGACAGAUAAUAAUAAUCCCUCCAGACAGAUUUAUAGAUUUAUAGUGAGGUAUAAUAUGCUAAUGCUAUAUUUAAUUAAGUGCUAUCUGAGAUGCUUUUCUUUCAAUCCCUUUUUUUCUUUACACAGCUCUGUCCUUUUCUUAUUGCAACUGCAUCGAUUUUGGAGGUGUAUUGCCUGAGCUACAUUGCCGCACAGUUGACCCAAUGAUAAGUGAAUGCAAAUAACACGCUGCUAGGAAUGACCUUUUCAGGAUUCAUUUCAGCGCUCAUUUGUAAAGUUUAAUUUCGGGAUUCGUACAGCAGUGGCCAGACAAUAACGGUCAACAAGAACAUUAGAAAAGUUACAGGUCAUUAGCAAAGCUCCAAAUUAAUGAGCAGAAUUUCUUGUUUUGCUCUUGUUCUAACCCUUAUGCUGACAAGGAAAAUACAACCAGUGAUGCAAUUUGUCUUUAAUUCUGAGUUUAUUACCUUUCAACACUAUUACCCCUCUCUUUUGCUAUCUCCACCUUUAUUCCCUUAGUGUCUCUUUUUCCUUCCUCUCUCUCUCUCUCUCUCUCUCUCUCUCUCUCUCUCUCUCUCUCUCUCUCUAUUUCUGCCCCAUUUUUUCUCUUGCUGUCCUCCACAGCUCCCCAGUACUAAUUGAAGUGGUUAAUUAACUGAAAAAAACGCAUUAACACCUUUCCAGACCAUUAGGAUAUGCAAGUGAAGGUGUGUGUGCAAGAGAGAAUGUGUGCACUUGCCCCAAGUGUGUUGCAUUUCCCUGCUAGCUGUCACUGUAGAGACAAGAGCAGGCCUUGAUAGAGGAGAAGGAUGAUGAUGAGGAAGAAGACUGUGGCCACAGGUGUGAAGAUGAACUUCCAGUCAGACAGCUGUUAAUUAGUUGUUUUUUGUCUCAUCAAUUCUCCACAGAGCUGGGAUGAGUAUGGCAGAAAAACCUGAAUAAAAGAUGGUAUGUGUAAUUGGAAGUGGGUUUUAUAUGUCAUUUUUUAUUGCGUAUCCUACAAAAUGCACCCAAAAGUAAAAAGAGUCUCACAGUAAGUAAAACUGGUGAUAAUCUUUGCCAGGAGGGAGGAUGUCUCGGAAUAUCCUUACUACCCUACUAUACAUUUGGUGAAAAGGAGUACACCAGAGGAGUAGUAUGUCCAAAUUCUUAGUAUUCAUAAAACAGAAAUACCCAGAAGACCUACUGCUUCUGCCUCGAUUCUGCAACAUUUAAGCAAUGGACACUGCACUAUCCCAUAAGGCAACGAGACUGGCGCGGAACAUCUGUCAGAGUCAAAAAUGUCAGAAAGCGGCAUGUCGGCUCUUUUUAAGUGUAAGUGCUAGGUAUUAAACGUUGUUCCUUGUGGUGAAACCGUACUUUUUUUUUUUUUAACCACGACUAAGUAAAUUGUUAACUUAUUUAAGGUUUAAACAAGAAAAAUGAGUUACGUUUUUGCAGUUAUUAUGAUGUCGUAGGUCACAUGACAUUGCCAACAUGGCAGAUGUAAUAUGUCCGGAUUGUAUUCAUACGUCCCACAUAAACUGAUCAGUACGUACUGUAACAGCCGUGCAGUAGGUACUGAAUGGAAUGCAGUAGGUACUGUCACAGUACGUGAUUCUGGAUGCACGGAUUCUGUUACUGUGCAGUUAAAGAGAUUCACGCUCUCAGAAAUGAAGAUAACAAUCCAUACUUUUCACUGCGAUGGUACCAUCAAACAUACAUAUUAUGUUUAGUAUUUAUCUUUUACAUGAGAACAUAUCAGGUGUGAUGCACCUUUAUUAGCUUUUAGAGUAAAGCCUUAAAGGUACAUCAGUGGUCCUUAAAGUCCUUAAAAGAUGCAUACUCAAGGUACAAAGGAUGGUGCCAAGAGUGCAAUACAUGGUGCAUCUAGUGCUGCUGUUACAGCUGGAUGUAGCUGUGCAUUUGAAGUUAUAGCUAGACAGAGGACAGAGGACAGAGGAAAAUCUGUCCAGAAUGAUGAAGUUCAACACACAUACACACAUCUCAUACAAUCUGCUACUGUUAUUAGUAAGCAUAAAGAAUCGGAUCUCUUUAGACAGCCACACACAGCUCUGUCAGAUGGCACCAGCAUGGCAGCAAGGGGCUUCAUAAUGCCCUGGCUGUUGGUGUCCACAUGACCAGUACCAGCUCCCUACUGGAACCACUGGCCAGCGACAUCUUCACAUACAAACACAAUCACUUGCUUAUGCUUCCUGUCCUCCCCCUACCCCUGUUUCAGUUUCUGCCUCAACAAACCAGCCUUUCUCACAACCCCUACACAAUAGACCGAAUGUACCAACCAUGGAUGAGUGUGUAUAUGUGUAUGUGUGAAACAGACAGAGCGAGAGAACAUGAAUGGUGACUUAGGGGCCACUUCUAGCAACAAAACAAAAACUCCCCUCAUUUGAGCCCUUCUCAAAAUGCCUGGCAUGACUCAAACAACAAACAUAUAUCUUUCCUUUUAUUUUGUUUCACUAUUCGCAGCAUUUCUAUUAGCCCCCUCCUGUCAUGGGUCUAUUCAGUGUCUGGCAUCGGCAGCUUGGACUGACUGAGGACUCCUUUGUAAUAUUUUUGGGAGAACUAUGUGUGCUGGCCCAAAUAUUCCCAUCGUCAGCCGUGCCUCAAGAGCCUAGCCGCCCAUCAUGUUUUCUAGGGACAGGAACAAUUUGAGCAAACAUUGUCUGAUCAAGUACUGCAGUUCAGUUGGGUGACAAUGUUAAUGGGGGGCAGGGAUUAGGAUGUAGCCACCCACCACUGAAAGCACAUGACUGGCAUGCUCUUGAUAUCAGCGGGUGGGGUGGACAUUGUUCCCUCAGCGCUCAAACAAUGGCAUAUUCUGUUGUGCCUAUGCACUCAUCUGAGCAGUUAAACAACAGCGCAAUGUCAGGGACAUGAACAGUGUUUCACAGGGUAGCCUGGGCCUGUCCGGAUUAUUUCCUCUCUUGUCUUCCUCUCUGGCUCUCUUUCAUGUCCCUCUUUCAUUCCGAGGUCUUACAAUCUGGUUUGGCUCCAGAAAAGCACCUCUUAGGACUGUGUUUAGUCAUUUGGUUUCCUGUUAAAUCGUUUUCCAUCGUCUAAUUUAGGAUAGCUCUGUCUCUGCAAUCAGGUUCUCCUUUUCUUUGUUCUUGUUAUGCUGCUUGUCUAUAUAUCUCUCUCUCUUUUUUCAUGAUAGAAUUUCCACUUCUCAAUCUCCCACCUAAUCUUUCAGACACGCAGCAUGUGUAGUUCCAAUCGUUACACAAACCUUUAAAAUGUUAUGCUAUGUUUCUCACAGCUGGUGCUUCAGACCCAUUUAAAGAAAACACAGGAAUCAAUAUUUCUUAUUAGGAAUCCCUGCUGAUGUGCCUGAGGCUCAGUAUUCUUUUUCCCUAGAGUUCUCAUUCACACUUUUUCCUAAAAGAAAAAAGAAGCUAUUUUCCUUUGUACCACUAGAAAAAAGAAAAGAAAUUAUAAGUAUAAGCUAUUAAGAAUUAUUAUGUACCUAUUGGCAGUGUAUUUAUUUUAAAAGCAAAUAUUGUCAGUGAUAGUUUUGACUUGGGCAAACGCUACAGGUCUGAAGUGAGUUUGCAUCAAAGUACAAGAUUUUCAGUAUAAAAUCCAUUUUGUUAGUGUUUGGUCUUGGUCUGUUGCCCCAUAUUCCAAAUUUACUCAAGCAGAUUCAUGAAACUGUGUGCCUUGCAUUCGCUAUUCCCAAAAAGUCCAACUAUGCACAUCGCUGUCUGUUGUGUAAUUGUUGUGUUAGUUGUGUCUUGGCACAACAACAGCUGCAUUUGUCCUUUUGCACUACACUGUGCAUGACCCUGAGAGGACUGACUGGCUGUCAGAGCCUUAGCAGAUACUGCAGGCCAAUCUGAAAUGUCUGCAAUGGGAAAUCAUAGGAUGCAGUUGCAGUUGGCAGUGGAGGAAGAGUGAUAGACACAUUAAGAGUGUUUGGGAGGAAGACAGGAGACAGACUUGCUGUCCUUGCCAUGGAUAAUAGGCCUGUAUCUUUUGUUUCCUCAUGGGUCCCUCUACUGCUGUUCCCUCUCUCUGCCUCUAUUUACUUAGCAAAAGAAAACUGUUUACUGGGCAUGGCAAAAGGGGUCAGUGGAAAGAGUUUGGGGGUGUGGGGGUUUAGCUUUUCAUUGUGAUUGAUUGAGAGGACCAUGGGAAAGUACCACUUGAAUAAUGCACAUAUUUCAUGGUCGUCUGUUUCUUCUUUGCUUGCAAAGCUCGGGAGGUUUUCUAAAAGCUGGCAUUAUAAGAGUCAACCAGGAAUAGCCAUGGAGUGGCACUAAAAAUUGUUAUUCCAUGGGUAAAGGGAGCAAUCAGAUAGAAACUACCUGCUAUUUAGACGUUUAUUAUGAUUACACAAAAUUUACACUUUUUCGGGUUGCUGAAAAAAAGCUCUCAUGAUUAAAAAUCAGUGUUAAACAUUGUUCAGACACAUUUGCUUUUGACCACAAGCCCAAAUCAUAAUAUAUAUUAAAGCAGCUAAUGCCAGUUUAAACAUGCUCAGAGUGAAAUAAUCAAACCUUCAUUUUUGGAGGGUUAGCCGGUUUAAGGGCUGAGACCGGUCAAUUAGCGUAUAUAAGGAAAAUCAUUAUCCAAACAUUAUAAAUAGUGCACUACAAUAGUCCUCUCCUGCAUUGGCUCCACCAGCUUCAGAGUCUUGUCCGAGUUCCUGUCCCUCAGGAGCAGUAAAGGAGGCUUUAUGUAAUAAGAGAUAGUAAUUACUGAUAGCUCCCCCUACCCAGGCCUCGUGGGACAGGAGACACCUUGAGUCUCAUUAGAUCACUCACUGGCGAUCACUCAGAUUCCUUCACUCUCUCUUCCUUUGCUAAUCCACUGUGCCACUAAUAGCAUAUCCCAUUUCAUGUGCCCUUUGGUUAUCCAUAUGCACUUCUGCCAGAUCAAUUUAUCAUUAUCCAUGUGCCAUUUCCUAAUCAGUAGUCUCCAGGAAGUGAAUUUACUGUUUUGGCAUAAAGAUAAAAGUCACUGAACUUUAACUUGGGGUAUCUGUCUCCAUAGCAUUUACAAAAUCAGGAUAUUUAUGCUAAUUUUCAAAAUAAAAGGGUAGAUACCAAUUUAUUUGUUUUCUCAUUACAUCUGCACAAGGCCCAUCCAUUCCAAAUAUUAGACAUCUAAAAGGUGCUUGGGAACAACAGUGUUAGUCCAAAAACAUUCAGAAUUUGGUAUAAAAUACAUGAAAUCUAGUGAUGGGUAAGACCAGGAGAUUAUGUGCAAACAUACAGCACAACGGAAUGAUGCUGAUUGAUUAUUAGUCAGAGUAAAAGACAAGCUAAACCCUUCCUUAGAAAAUGGAAAGUGGAGUUGAAGAGAGGAAGAUUGCACAUGGAGGAGCAUUUGAUGUUAGAUAUUAUUCCACCAAAGUUAUGGCUGAUUGCUUUGAAUCCCCUGGAUUUGUGGAGAGCUUUGAGAUAACUCAACCUUACACCCUUUUACCUGCCACAAGAAAAAAAAAAGAUUCUGCUGAAUUCUCUGCUGAAAGAAAAGAGUGACGCUAGGAUUUGACCUAGACUCUUGAUGUUUAAAGAGCAUUUCCUUAAAGGCACCAACAGGCUUUCAAGUUAACAAAACACCGACCCAUAUACAGUAUCUUUUAAGAUGAAAACAUUUGCAUUUUAUUAAAUCUGAACAAUUUUUUGAACUAAUUAAUUUGCUCAUAUACUGAAGGGUUGUAUUGUUGGGGCAGCAUAAAUAGAGAAAAUAAAAUUUCACUGUUUGAACAUUUUUUCCCCAUGGGUCUCAAUAAGCCACUGCAUGGUGUGGGCAGCCGCAAGCGAUGAGGCUGUUCAAAGGCAAAAGGCAACUCAGAGCAUUCUGUCUGUCUCCAGAGAAAAGCAUGACACAUCCUGUUUGAGAAGCAGGCAGGCUUUAACCGACAGACAGACAAAUCAUAAUGCACAUUCAUUUCAAUUGCAGGUUACAUCAGAUCAAAGAUAAGUUGCCUUCCUUCAAUCCCAAAUGGCAGUUUUAAACCAAUAAAAAUUGUGUAUAUGUUUUUGUGAAUUUGUGUGUAUGUGUGUGUGUGUGUGUGCGCGCGCGCAUGUAUUCAUUUGCUGCUAUUUGUCAAAGAGCACUGAGCAGCUUCUGAUUGAAGGGCCUAUUAGCCAGCCCUGGAGAAACAUGUUUACCUGCUGUCAGUUCAGCGGUAUACAUAGAUCAUUGUCAUUUAAAUGAGCUGCAACAACAACCAAACAGAAAAGGUAAUUACAUUUUACUUUUCAGAGAGAUAGAAUUGAUUUGGUUAGCUGGGGGAGCGCCUGUUCACAAUUUGGUGAUGAAGCUCUGUUUUAAUAUGCUCUGACAGCUAAAUGGAUUGGGAGCAGAGGAACAUGGCUGCCACUUUAUAGCUUGCCUAAACCAGAGGGAGAGGGGGAAAGGACAUAAAUUAAACUCGGUGUAAUCAGGCCAGAGUUGACCUAAACACUUCCAUGUAGAACAAUCCACACACUGCUGGAAAUUCAGAAUGGCAACGUUUCUCUGAAAAGGAUCAAAUCGGUGGUAACAAAUAGAACAUUCUAGACAGAUUCCAGUGUGCCAGAGUGGUACCAGUGCCAGCAAAAUGUGUCAGUACAGUUUGCUAGAGAGGAACCACACUCAGGACUAGAUGUGUGAAUACAUUUGAUGUAAUAAUACUGUGUAAAGAUCACCAUUUAAAUACUUAUCACCUUCAUCUUUCAAUUAAAAGACGUCAGAAGUCGUUUUAUUGCUUUUAAUAUGAACAGAAACUCACAUUCAGAGUUUUCACUUCGGGAGGCUGUCACACACUUCCCCAUUCAUAUUUGAUAGUUCUCUAAGAGCAGCCGCUUGUGCGGAAGACUUUCAAAUGAAGUUAAAGCUUGGCCCUGCCAGCCAGUGACCCAUUUGUUUGCCCCUCACGUAGAAUGAGAGCAACAUUCAGCCUGGGCCAAACAGCAACAGCGCCAUUUUAGAUGUCUGUCUUUCUCUGUGUUCCCUCCAUUCAUUCAUCCUUCCUUCUUUCCUCCAGCUCCCCUUCCCCCUAACGAUCACCCAGAUGUGCACCAGGUUCAAGCCAAAGUCAGCCAGUGUUCACUGCAGGCAGCUGGAAGACAGAUAGUUAUAUUUGCCAGUAAUGAGCUUUGAUAUUAAUUAGAUUAUUUCUGAUAGCUUAUCAGAAAUCUUGUCAUGCUUGUCAUAGAAUGCUCCUAAUUUCAUUCACAAUAAAAAUAGUUAAUGCUAAAGCAGUACUUGAGGAACCAUGUGUCCUUAUGGGGUGGGUUUGAGCUAGGAAUAGAAGUGCAGCAAUGGAAAAAUAUAUUAGGAUAUAGGAAGGCCGUUGCUAAUCCAGGGGUAAAGUCAAGGCAGGAAGGGGCAACAGAAAGAGCUUGUAGAUCUCCUACUCACUUGAGAGAUGUCAGUAGAAGUGUUACCUUUAGAGUCAUAUGCUUCUCUGAGGCUGACUCUAAGGGCUCAAAUGGGGCACCUAACAGAUCUUCCAGGACCACAGAAAGGUUCCGGGAAGGUAUGCGUGGUCUGCAGAUGGGCCUCAGCCGCCUGACAGCAUGCAUAAACCUCUAUGUUAGAGGAUGUUUCCCCACAGAGGCUCCAUCAAUAGGGGCUGGCUGAAAUGGCAGCCACAAAGACACUGAUUGUAGAAGGAGCCAACCCUGUUGAGAAAUGUCCUUGUAAGAACUCCAGGACUGUAGCUAUUACACAGUCUAGCUGACUAUCCUCACAGCACCAGACAAAAAGUCACCACUUGAGUGCAUACAAUUUCCUCGUGGAUGGUGAUCUAGCAUUCAACAUGAUCCCUACAACCUCAGUUGCAAGACCAGAAUCUAUGAGCUGGUGCCCCUCAGGGGCCAAACCCCCAGUUUCCAUAGUUCCGGCCAAGGGUGAUAAAUCAGCCGUCUGGUUUGAGACAGUAGAUCCCUGCAGAUGGGAAUCUCCCAAGGAGUGCCAUCUAGUAGGGAUAUUAUCUCAGAACCAUAAUCGAGAUGGCCAAUAAGGGGCUACUACUUCUUGGCGAACUCUCGCUAGAAUUUGUGGGAGCAGAGCAAUUGGGGGAAAAGCAUACGUGUGAAGACGUGAAGUUGGCCACGUGUGCACCAUGGCAUCCAGCCCCAAUGGUGCGGGAGAAGUGGGGGCAAACCACAGCAGGCAGCGUGUUCUCUCCUCGGACGUGCACACAUCUACUUUCGCUUGGUCGAACCACUGCCAUAUGGACUCCACCACUUGUGGAUGGAGCCUCCAAUCCCUGGGCCUCAGCCCCUGCCUCGACAGGAUGUCUUCCCCCCAUUCCAGUUGCCUGGAAUCUACAUUGCACUCACUGAUAAUAACUUUCCAUCUGCCCAGAGAAGAAUUAGUGCCUGAACAGGGAGUGUGAACAUAACCCACCCUGGCGGUUGUAUAUGAGACCACAACUGUGUUGUCUGUCACAACUAACACAUGGUGACCUCAACUGAGGAAAAAAUUAUUUCAGUGCUAGAACUACGGCCUAUAUUUCUAGGUGAUUUAUAUGCCACUCGAGAAGAGGGCCACUCCAGAGACCUUGAGCUGGACAGCCGUCUAAGACCACACCCCAGCCCAUGAGGGAGACAUCUGUUAUUACCAUCUUGCGAUACGGAGACGCCCCUAGAGUGUGACCCAAGGCUAGGAACCAGGGACACCUCCAAAUUCUCAGAGCACGGAGGCAUCGCUGCGUGACACUGAUUACUGCCUGACUUUUCAGCCACCACUGAAAGGUCCCCUGUGCAAUAGGCCCAGUGGCUUGACAUUGACUGCUGCUGCCAAAAGCCCCAACAGUCUCUCAUAGAGACUGGAGCAGAUGCCAAGAUCUAGCUUUAUUUUGUUCAAUGUUGAUAGGAUUGACCCUAUGCAUGUUGGAGAUAGAAAUACCCCUGUCAUAGUGGAAUCCCAUAUAACCCCUAGAAAAAUUGUCCUCUGCACUGCAGAAAGCAUACUUUUCUUGAGGUUCAACCUGAGACCCAAGCCCCUCAUGUAGGUGAGAACAACAUCUCAAUGUUGAAUCGCCAGUUCACUGGAUCGUGCUAGAAUUAACCAGUCAUCCAGGUAAUUUAGUACACGGAUGCCCUGGAGUGACAAGGGAGCCAGAACAGCAUCCAUGCACUUUGUGAAGGUGCGAGAGCAUAAAGCUAGCCUGAAGGGAAGAACCAGAUAUUGGUAUGUGUUGCCUCCAAACAUGAUCCUCAGGAACUUGCUGUGACUGGGUGAUAUUUCUAUGUGGAAAUAUGCAUCUUUUAGAUCUAUCGUCAAAAACCAGUCCUCAAACUGAAUCUGUGGAACGAUAAGUUUGACCAUCAGCAUCUUGAGCCUGUAUGUCCGAAGAGUUCAGAUGAUGCAGAUCUAAAAUUGGCUGCAUACUCCUAUUUUUUGCGGACCAGGAAAUAACGGCUGUAAAAACCUCCCUCCCUCAGGGACCAUGGUACAUGUUCUAUGGCCUCUUUGUCCAAGAGGCAUCUUACUUCCUGCUCUGUGCUGACUACUGUGAUUAGCACACCUCUGAAUCAGGAGGGUUGAGCUCUGAAUUGGAUUGAGCAACCCUUUCCCAUGGUGGACAGAACCCAUGGAGACAAACUUGGCAGUAGUUUCCACACUGCCAGAUGGUCUUUUAGUGGCAUUAACUCUUCCACAUUCUGUUGGAGGGAAAACAUCAGAUUUUUAUUGCCCUGUGACAGCUUGCUGACCAGAGAAGACUGAAAACUUGGGACAGCCUUGGCUAGGGGAGACCCUACAGUAGUACUAGAGGCUAACUGCCCUAACGACCUCACAUACCAUGGUGCAUCCCUCCGCGGCCCAUCAAGACCACUCCUUCUUUGUUUGCUUGGCCUUAUGAUCAUUCUCAGAUCAGGCCUAUUAGCAGGCUGCGACUCUGGCCACCCUGUCCCCCUGGCUCUCCGCGGGGGGAGGUUGGCUGCCACACUCGCCUUCUGUGCCUCACUCGCACUAGCGCUGACCCAGGCUCCACUCGUGGAUGCCCUGUUGAAUUCAACAUGAUGGGGAAGGAACUGGCUGAACAUUGCUCUAUGUUGAGCUCACUCUGCAGAUCUGCUUGGUAGGCUUGCAACACUGCCAUUGUAUGCAUUGAUCCACAAGCGAAACCCGCUGCCGCAUAGGCAUUACCCACUGACGCCGAGGUGGCCUCACAUGGCUUGGAUGGCAAAGCCAGCCCCCCUAAAUUACCUGCCAUAGAUGGAGAGAGGUAGCGCUCGAGCACCUCCUGCACCUUCAGCAUAGUUAAAUAGCCGUGCCAUUCAUUCCCAAUGAUGGCUGAAUAAUCUGACAUUGCAGGGUUAUAAAUAUAGCUAGUGUAUAGUGAUAUUUCAUCAUGUACUUUUGGAAAAAAGGGGAGUUUUCUGCAGUGUGAGGGAGAUUUAUUUUCACUGUGAAGAAAGUGCUUGUCCAGCCUGCUACAAUCCACUUCCUCUUCCCUAGGCCAGUCCAGAUUUGGUGUUUCAACUGCCUUAGUAAUCACUUUAAACAGCUCUUUAUAUGCUUGAGAGCUGUUCACUGUUUUUGGUGCACUGACACACCCUUCUGGCUCCUCGGAGUCAGAGAGGUUUUUUUCCUGUUUCCAUAGCAGAAGGAGUCGCAAAGCGGCGGAAAACCGGACCCAGAAGACAGAGCAAGAGAUAGAGCAAUGCUCGUCUCUGGCUCCUCUUCCAGAUCCAUACGAGAUCCCAAGGACCUGAGACGGCUGGCUGCCUUGGCAGCGGCUGGCCUAGAUCUGCAAGGCUCUGAAACCCAAUUCCUUUUGGCCGAGAAGAGAGCGAGCCAUGAGCGAAGCUGCCUAAUUAUAAGGUGGUCACAAUGUGCACAUUCAGACCUCUCGAAGGCUUCCCUGGUGUGCUCCAUCCCUGGACACUUCACACAGAAAAUGUCCGUCACCCCCCCGUGAUGAAACAGGAGCAAGACAUGACAUACUUCAUGAAUUCUCUCUACUCAUACAUUUCUCUCUCUUUUUUUUAAAGGGCCAGAAAAGUAAAGAGCUAUUUUUUUCUUUUUUUGAAAAGAUAGAGAAGAAGCCCUACACAAACCGACCGGCAUGUAGUCUCACUGAAGAUAAUAAGUUCACAGGUGCCAUUUUUAUAUCACGUGACACAAUUAAUUGACACGUCACCUGAUCAUGGCAGGCCUAUAAAUAGGCAUGAUGUUACACAAGUUUCAGAUACCAGUCACGCACGAGGGUACUUUCCACAGCUUGAAGCUCAUGCAAUGUUGAGUUCCCUUUGAAAGGGAACUCAGAGAGCCUCCAUUAUUUUUGUUUGUUUUCUGUAAUGACAUAAAAACACUUCACUGUAACUUUUUUCUUUUUAUGGAAAAUGACCGAUUAGAAAUCAAUAUUUUUUUCUUUGCAGGAGAAAAACAUCUAACAUGAAAUGUCUAUAAAAAAAGGAGUUUGCUCUCACACCCGAAAACGUACCCUUAGUGUUCAUCUGCUGAAUAUUUCUGGUCAGUCAGGCUGAGGAAAACGGAAGCAGAAACAGAAGGCCUUUACAGCUAGAUGCAUUACAUAUGAUCAAGAUGCAACAUGAGCUGUAUAGAGGCAUAGCAGUCUUAUUCCAGGGGAUACCUUAAUUAAAUAGUAAGGGCUUACACAGUGCACAGUAGAUAGUACAUGAGCAAUUGCAAGACAUUCUCAGAUAUGAAGCAAAUUGAGGGUAUAGACUUGGGCAGAGGAGCUCUACAUUACAUAACUGCUGGAUUGGGGAGGAUAGUGAGAAUGAUAUGAAAGACCAAAUCAAACAGUCAGUGACUAUCAUUAGCUGUUACUAUGAGUCAGAACACUUGAUGAAGGUGAACACUUGAUUGCUGCCAGUGCAGUCAAAAUAUAAUUCAUCUAAGCAUCAUCUUUUGCAGGGUAAAAAAAUGACCAUCUAACAGUUUGACUGGCUCAGCAUAUGAUGCUGCAGAGUCUAAAAUUUUUGAUGAUGUGCUUACUUACUCCUAUAAGACAGUAAGCAAAUAGCAGUUUUGCACCAUUUUAUCUCCCAAAACCAGGUGUAAAUUAUCAGCAUGCAUAUUGCUUGAACCAGCAUAGCUAGUAUUUUUUCUGCAGAAUUUGAAUGCUUUUGAAUUGUCGACUUGGGAUGAAAUUGAAUGUUAAUUUCAUAUGCAUUGCUAGCACAUUUUGCAGUCACAUCAAAUCUCAUUUUGUGCUGCCUUCUCACAUGUGAGGCCCAUUGUGUGUGAUGUUUAUAUUAUAGAAACAUUAUGCCUUUCCUAUUGAUGGGUGGCUAUAACUGCAGAGUUGCCUUAUUUUUCUGCACUUCCCACACCACUUCAAGAGCACCAGGAACUCUCUUCCCUUCUUUUUUUCAACGUCCAUCUGAUGCAACUGUUACUGAUAGCAUCUCUUAUGUGUGUUUUGACUGCUAGUACAUGUUGUCUCUGUCUAUUCUGCCCUUAUCUGUGAUGGCUUUCCAUGUGGGGUGGAGAGGCUUGCAGAGAGACAGAAGUCACGGUGCUGCCAUUUACCCCAGACAACACAACUUUAGCCCCACACUGACGCCUACAGCACAUGUCUUUGGACUGGGGGAGGAAACUCUAAAGCAAGCCUUCUGGUUCUCUUGGGAUUUGAACUUGCAAUCCUUCCGGUCAAAAUCACUAGAACCCCAUGAACUCCCCUGAAUGGUGGCAGGGAAGCCAGGCUCACCAGAGACUUCUGAAGGAUUCCAGGGGAUUUGAUCUCUGUCAAACAUGACACAAGCCUGGAG